rnacentral:rRNA from 3 species
UACGGAGGGUGCAAGCGUUACUCGGAAUCACUGGGCGUAAAGGAUGCGUAGGCUGUAAUAUAAGUCAGAAGUGAAAUCCAACGGCUUAACCGUUGAACUGCUUUUGAAACUGUUUUACUAGAAUAUGGGAGAGGUAGAUGGAAUUGGUGGUGUAGGGGUAAAAUCCGUAGAUAUCACCAGGAAUACCGAUUGCGAAGGCGAUCUACUGGAACAUUAUUGACGCUGAGGCAUGAAAGCGUGGGGAGCAAACAGG